rnacentral:rRNA from 1 species
UACGGGGGGUGCAAGCGUUGCUCGGAAUUAUUGGGCGUAAAGCGCACGUAGGCGGUCCUCUAAGUCGGGUGUGAAAGCCCGGGGCUUAACCCCGGAAGUGCACUCGAAAAUGGAGGGCUUGAGUAUGGAAGAGGGUCUCGGAAUUCCCGGUGUAGAGGUGAAAUUCGUAGAUAUCGGGAGGAACACCAGUGGCGAAGGCGGAGACCUGGGCCAAUACUGACGCUGAGGUGCGAAAGCGUGGGGAGCAAACAGG